GAGCUGGGUGUGGUGGCACAUGC
rnacentral:miRNA from 1 species